AAAUUAAAAAUGUGGUUUAGGAGAAGAUAGGCUGAGGAUUUUACAUAAGAGGGUAGUUUUUAAACAAGGUAGUGUUUUUAAGAAAUGUGUAUUUUAGUAUUGGUAAAGCCAGUUCUAGAUUGUAUUACUGAUAAAUGAUCAUUUAAGAGUUCAUAAGUAUGAAUUCCAUAUUCCUUACUUGUCUCUAAUUAGCAAACACUGAAUUCCUGGUCUCUACCAAGUUGCUUAGUUACAUAGGAAACUAGGGUACCCUCAUCCUUGAAUAAUCUUUCUCUAAAAGAUUACAAGGUUAAUUUUCUCAAUUAAAAUCAUAAAUUUAAAAUACUUUUAUGUAAUAUCAGCUCUCUACCAGGUAUAAAACUUGAAAACCUUUUCACAGGGAGAAUGAAGUUGAAGAGGUAAAAGAGGAGGGUCCAAAAGAGAUGACUUUGGAUGAGUGGAAGGCUAUUCAAAAUAAGGACCGGGCAAAAGUAGAAUUUAAUAUCCGAAAACCAAAUGAAGGUGCUGAUGGGCAGUGGAAGAAGGGAUUUGUUCUUCAUAAAUCAAAGAGUGAAGAGGCUCAUGCUGAAGAUUCGGUUAUGGACCAUCAUUUCCGGAAGCCAGCAAAUGAUAUAACGUCUCAGC
rnacentral:sRNA from 1 species